AACCUUUUCCUCUCUUUUUCCUCUCCCGACGGCGCGAUUCUUCUCUCGGGCGAAAAUCGCAGCCAAGGCUAGGGUUUUCUUCCUCCGGCGUCGACGAAGGGUUUUCCGGCCGGUUUCCACCCGUGGGUGACCAUUCCGACAAGGAGAACUCGGGAAAUACAAGGAAUCGGUAGAAUCGAGGUUCCACCGAAACCCUAAAGCAUUUCCCUUCGGUUGUAAGUCCAAGAACCCGAUAUAUAGAUAAAAAUAAAGGAAAAGUUAAAGUGGUGUAGAAGAAGGCGACAAGGAGACGUCGAUGGUGUGUGUGUGGUGGCUGAUAUGGAAGCUUGGGAUCUUGCUAGAUGAUUUUGGAAAUAUUCUGCUAGUGUUCUUUUGAUUUCUGCUAUAGUGGAACUACAUUGCCAUGCUAAGGAUUGUUAUAUACUCAGUAUUUUUAUGUGCAUGUUAGUAUUCUAUA